AGUGAACGCUGGCGGUAGGCCUAACACAUGCAAGUCGAACGGCAGCACAGGAGAGCUUGCUCUCUGGGUGGCGAGUGGCGGACGGGUGAGGAAUACAUCGGAAUCUACCUUUUCGUGGGGGAUAACGUAGGGAAACUUACGCUAAUACCGCAUAAGACCUACGGGUGAAAGUGGGGGACCGCAAGGCCUCACGCGAUUAGAUGAGCCGAUGUCCGAUUAGCUAGUUGGCGGGGUAAUGGCCCACCAAGGCGACGAUCGGUAGCUGGUCUGAGGGGAGGAUCAGCCAAACUGGAACUGAGGCACGGUCCAGACGCCUACGGGAGGCAGCAGUGGGGAAGAGUGGACAAUGGGCGCAAGGCUGAUCCAGCCAUGCCGCGUGGGUGAAGAAGGCCUGCGGGUUGUAAGGCCCUUUUGUUGGGAAAGAAAUCCUGUCGAUUAAUACGCUGUGGGGAUGACGGUACCCAAAGAAUAAGCACCGGCUAACUUCGUGCCAGCCGCCGCAGUAACAC
rnacentral:rRNA from 1 species